UAUGAGUUUUGUUUCUGCUGUACACUUUUAAAGUGAAGUUCAUUUGAGGAAAAAGGUAAAAUAAAAUAAGUGGAGAAGCUAUGAGGAUACGUCCAGAAGAGUCCAUGUUACUUCACAAGCUCCUCUUUCUUUGUCUCUCAGAGAAAAACAGGGAAACUGAGAAUACAGUAGUUUUCCUGUGGCGUAACACGUUGCAGGUUAUUGGUUGUCGUAUGUAUUCAGACGCACACUCUUCUAUAGUUCUCAUCUCAAGUCUAUUUAUUUAAAAAUGACAAUGUGUAGAACAUAAAAUCUGUAUUUGCAAUUUCAUUUUCGGUAAAGAAAAAUGUGAUUGUUUACUAUGUGUCUACUAAACGAACGGUGCUCUGUUCUGACCACAACUUUGGUCGUGUUUUUCUUUUCUUGAAUAACUGGGAGAUGAUUAAAAUCUGUAUUUGUAAUUUCAUUUUCGGUAAAGAAAAAUGUGAUUGUUUACUA